UACGUAGGGAGCAAGCGUUGCUCGGAAUCACUGGGCGUAAAGCGCACGUAGGCGGCUUUUUAAGUCAGGGGUGAAAUCCUGGAGCUCAACUCCAGAACUGCCUUUGAUACUGGCGACCUUGAGUUCGGGAGAGGUGAGUGGAACUGCGAGUGUAGAGGUGAAAUUCGUAGAUAUUCGCAAGAACACCAGUGGCGAAGGCGGCUCACUGGCCCGAUACUGACGCUGAGGUGCGAAAGCGUGGGGAGCAAACAGG
rnacentral:rRNA from 1 species